rnacentral:rRNA from 1 species
UGGGGAAUAUUGGGCAAUGGGCGAAAGCCUUACCCAGCAACGCCGCGUGAGGGAAGAAGGUUUUCGGAUUGUAAACCUCUGUCCUGGGGGACGAAGGAAGUGACGGUACCCCGGGAGGAAGCCCCGGCCUAACUACGUGCCAGCAGCCGCGGUAAUACGUAGGGGGCGAGCGGUUGUCCGGAAUUAUUGGGCGUAAAGGGCGCGUAGACGGCCGAGUAACGUUAUAGGUGAAAGCCCAUCUUUCAAUGGAUGGAAUUGCCUGUAAUACUGCCUGGCUUGAGUGCAGGAGAGGGAAGCGGAAUUCCUAGUGUAGCGGUGAAAUGCGUAGAUAUUAGGAGGAACACCAGUGGCGAAGGCGGCUUUCUGGACUGUAACUGACGUUGAGGCGCGAAAGCGUGGGGAGCAAACAGGAUUAGAUACC